GGGAUUGUAGCUCAGUGGUGGAGCACUUGCCUAGCAUGUGCAAGGUCCUGGGUUCAAUCCUCAGCACCA
rnacentral:tRNA from 1 species